GAAGACCCCUAUUCCCCUCAGAGAGCUAUGCAAUUUCCAGAGUGGUUUAACAACCAAUCCCUCUUACCAGAGACCUCUGGGAAUUGUAGCUCUGUGAGGGGAAUAGGGGCCUC